rnacentral:rRNA from 1 species
UACGGGGGGGGUAAGCGUUGUUCGGAAUUACUGGGCGUAAAGGGCUCGUAGGCGGCCAACUAAGUCGGACGUGAAAUCCCUCAGCUUAACUGGGGAACUGCGUCCGAUACUGGAUGGCUUGGAUUUGGGAGAGGGAUGCGGAAUUCCAGGUGUAGCGGUGAAAUGCGCAGAUAUCAGGAAGAACACCCGUGGCGAAAGCGGCUCUCUGGAACGGUACUGACGCUGAGACGCGAAAGCGUGGGGAGCGAACAGG